rnacentral:sRNA from 2 species
CAGAAGUGUAUCUAGGGUUCCGUCUAAUUAAUGGUUAGAGUCUGGACCAAGCGAUGCAAAGUAUCCAAGCUGAUAUGGAUAUUACACUUUUAGGAUAAAAGCCUGAGAGAU